GUCCCCAUCGUCUAGCGGUCUAGGACGCCGCCCUUUCACGGGGGAAACCGGGUUCGAUUCCGUUGGGGACGCC
rnacentral:tRNA from 1 species